GGAUGUCAGGACCUGGAGGAUCUCAUCAAAGUGAAUUGUAUAUCAAACCAGGAAGGCAUGGACUGUGACCUGGAUAGUUUCGUUGAAGUCAAAGGUAAAAGCAAUCAAGGGGCUUCCAAACAAAGCUGUGAAUCAGAAAGUAUUCCAAGGAAUCAGUCAGAUAUGAGCCAUUUAACCCAGGUCUCUGGAGACACUAG